rnacentral:rRNA from 1 species
CCUACGGGUGGCAGCAGUGGGGAAUAUUGGACAAUGGGCGAAAGCCUGAUCCAGCCACGCCGCGUGUGUGAAGAAGGCCUUCGGGUUGUAAAGCACUUUCAGUGGGGAAGAAAGCCUUGGGGCUAAUACCCUCGAGGAAGGACAUCACCCACAGAAGAAGCACCGGCUAACUCCGUGCCAGCAGCCGCGGUAAUACGGAGGGUGCGAGCGUUAAUCGGAAUUACUGGGCGUAAAGCGCGCGUAGGCGGUCUGAUAAGCCGGUUGUGAAAGCCCCGGGCUCAACCUGGGAACGGCAUCCGGAACUGUCAGGCUAGAGUGCAGGAGAGGAAGGUAGAAUUCCCGGUGUAGCGGUGAAAUGCGUAGAGAUCGGGAGGAAUACCAGUGGCGAAGGCGGCCUUCUGGACUGACACUGACGCUGAGGUGCGAAAGCGUGGGUAGCAAACAGGAUUAGAUACCCCUGUAGUC